rnacentral:lncRNA from 1 species
GCACCACCGACCACUAACGUAGUAAACACCACGGCGAACGUGAGGGGAAGGAGCUGAAGCAGCAGUGGCGGCGAGCACAGGAGGAGCGGAGGCCGGAGAGUGUCUCUGGUGAAAAGUGCAAACAGGUUUGAGGGUGAGGCUACAUAUAUAGCAACUCAUUGAUCAGUAAUAAGCUUUUAAAUAAAAUUUAAAUUCGUAAUCAAUUAAUCUUUAUAUAUAGCAACUCAUUGAUCAGUAAUAAGCUUUUAAAUAAAAUUUAAAUUCGUAAUAAAUUAAUCUUUAACCUAUAAGACUAAAAGAUACCAUAAACAAAAAAUUAACUAAAUAAGCACAACUAACUUAGAUUUAACUAGUGAUUAGUUCAUUCUUCGAUUUAAGUAAAUAUCUAAUAUUUAAAUAAGGAAUGCUAAGAGACUAGCAGAAUUUGUGAUAUUUAGCCAUCAAUUAGCCAUCAUCAAUAUUUUCAAUAGUGUGAAAUGAGAUCUAAUGAUGUAGGAUUAAUUAUUUUUCCUUUGAUGGUUAAGUGCUGGCCAAAUUUCAACAAAAAUACUGACCCCAUAGACUUUCUCUAAUUUUAAUAAAAAUAGCAUACAGAUGGCUUAAAUAUUACCACAUGGUAAAUUAAUUCUUUUAAGCCCGACGUGGGCUAAUUGUGAGUGUGAACAUUUCAAGAAAAGCUCAGUGUCAUAACCUCCGCAAAAACCGAACAAGAUGGUUAAAAACUUAAAAUCACAAAUUCCACAAAAAUUGUAUACACAUGGAACCAUACAAAUGCUUCCUACUAAAUUAGAGAAACAAAUGAUAACAUUCUACCAAGAAGCUUAUGUCAUUAUUUGAAUAUUUGUAAAUAAAUAACCACCACCCCCCACAAAAACAAAACAAAAAAAACAUACAAAAAAAAUGACACAUGGAGGAUUUAUCUUUUUAUGUUGUCACCAAAAGAUAUGCUAGGCCUUUCAGGUAUUCAACAAUCUCCGAUCCACCAAGUUUUGAACUUCCAAAUACUCUAUCAACAAAUGUGAUUGGAACCUGUAUGUAUGCGAAACUAAAGUCAGCUCCAAAGUGAAUUAUGAACUCUUAGUCACCCAAUCCUCAAGUUGCCAUCAUGAGAGAUGUUUCAUACGUAGAUUCAAAUGUGAAAUUUUGUAGCAUCAUUGUUUUAUCUAAUCAUUAAGUGCUUACUUCGCUGUAUUAAACUACCGGUCAUGUUUAUGCCUAGUGGCAAGCAAAUAAUAUAACUCACAAAAAGAGAAAGAUCAAUAGAAAAGAAUAGAGCCAACCCUGAGAAGAAUUCCAAUGUCCAGCCAAUUCAGUGCUAUUAGAAAAUGUUUCUAUGAUUUGUUUGUGUUCAACAUCGUUCCAAAUCUCAUGGAUAUCUACUGAAGACCAAGGGCUAUCUACUUUUGUACGUUAAGGUAAAUUUCACAAGGUGACCGUCAAAGGCACAACUACAGUGGCCACUAGCACCAACAGUGCACUAAUUGUCUCAAAAUAAAGCACACACUUGUAUGUUGUAUACAAAUGAUCAACGCUAAUACACAUCUAAAUCAAGAGCUAUGAACUAAUGAAAGUCAACAAAACAACCAGGUUAACCUAUAUUAUAAACAUCAUUAUGUAAAUGUACCUCUUCAAUAUGGUAUCCUUUUCUGGAUGCUCUUACUAUCAUCUCCAUUUGAAAGACAUAUCCCUUACUAACACAGCAACUAAUGAUGUCUUCAAGAACA